UUGAAAAAUCACUGCAAACCUUGUCAGACACAUGAACUUGUGCUGUGUGUCCUGUGUGUCAGGGCCCCAGCUACCCUGCAGGAAGUGGAGGGGUGGCCCCAGGCCUUCAGGCCAGCCAGGCAGGAGUCUCUUCUCCUCUCCAGACAGUAGGGACACAUGGCCUGACUCCUCACUUAGGUCUGGCUUAGGGACUCACAGGAAUACAAGAACUAGUUUCUUCCAGAUCAGAAGUUCUCACUAAAGCGCAGGUAGGUAUAAAUAUUUUAUUGAGUUUUCCUUAACAUCCAAACUGUUCAACUAUAGAAGGCUUACUCCUUCGCCUGGGAUUUUCCUGACCUGUUACUACUAUUCUCUGGAAGAAAAAUUUAAAAGUGAUAAAGACAAACUACAGGCAAGCCAGAAGACAGGGCCACAGCUUGGCCCUGUGAGGGACAGGCAUUUCCUUCCUGUCUUUGAAUCCAAACUGCUGUCAGCUCUACCACCACCCACUCACAUGCAGAGCCCCUGGCUGGCUGCUAGAGCCUCAGCAAAAGCCAGUGUAAGUUACUUGGGUGAGUUGGCUCCCCAGGCUUUUGAGAUACCUGCCUUUUGUCCAGCACUGCAUCGUCCUCGCAUAUCCAAG